rnacentral:lncRNA from 1 species
GCUGAGGGGCGCGACGGUUUGGGGUCGCCUUCGCAAGCGGCGCUCGAGAUUUUCCUCCUCUACACGUUUUGCCGUCUUUUUUUCGGAUUUGGGAGGGGGAAACGACAGCCGCGUCCGUGUUUUUGUUUGGAAGCUGAACUGAUGGGUUCGGUCAAGGCUGGUUCCCGAAGCUGAGGGAGCGGCCUCUUCUUGCCGCCCUAGGUAGACGGAACCCGGCAGCCUCCUCGUUUCUGUGAGGAGAAACACUCGAAAACGGAUCGUGGUGAAUCUGCAUGUUGUUGUUUUGCCGAGAAUCGGUCUCACGCAGUGGCGGAUUUACAUAUAAGCUAAACAAGCUACAGCUUAGGGCCCCACUUUCUUGAGGCUCCCCCAAAAUUUUAAAGGGGGAAAAAAACAGGAUGUACAUUUCCAAAAUAUAAGAUUAAAAAAAUAAAACAUACCUACAGCAACAUGGCUUUAGAUACCUAUUAGGUCCAUAAACUACCAUAUAUCAUAUAUUCAACACAAAAAACAGCAACAAUUUGUUGACAAAGGACAGAUGGACAUAUAAAGGGCCCCCUUACUUUCAGUAGCUUAGGGCCUCAUCAAACCUAAAUCCAGCCCUGGUCUCGUGUGCCCAAGGCUGCACAGUUUAAAAAUAAUAAUAGUUCAUGCCUCUGGUAUUUAAUGUUUCUGCUGUCAUGGCGCACAGAAAAUGGAUCUUGUGGAUCCUGACACCGCAUGGCGCACCAAAACCACCACCAAAUCACCUCAGUGCCUGCAAGUCUGCAUCACAAUAAUCACGAACCCAGCGCUUCGUGCCUAUAGAGCAAAAACAUACCUCUGGCUUUUUCGAUAGAACCCAAUGGCACAUCAUGUUCAUGGUUUGAACUAUGAAAACUAUUCUAUUUUAUUUUUUUAUUCAGUUGGGGUCCCCCAUGUUCCCUCAAAUCCACAGACAAUCCACAGCUUGAAUGCAUCUACACAGACAGCCUCGUCUGUAUAAAAUAUAGGGUGGGGGGAUUGAUCCUCUGAAUUUCCACAUGGAUCCGCAGAAUCCAUGUCGCACGACCUUUCUGCACAGUUUGCACUACAAAUAUCACUUUCUAAGGUACAGUGAUAGGCUCCAAGGAACACAUCUCCAGGGAUCCUUUGCAUUUUUAAAUAGGGUUACUCCCAAGCCUUGGAUGCCAAUGCAAUGAAUAGGUAAUACAUUUAUAAGAUUUUUAAUAAUUCAUCCCACCUACAUAUUAAUUACAUGCACCCAAGGGCAUAGCCAAAUCAAGUAAAUCAAUAAAAUACUUAACUAGCUGAGGUUCUGCCCACUCCCACCAACAUAAAUCCUGGCUAUGCCCAUGCAUGCACCUUGUGCUUGCCAGUUCAUAGAUCUGUCAGUUUUUCACAUUGCACCAUUAAUAUGCCUACUAGUGUAACGCAAAAUGAAUGCAAUUUAACCAAAGCAGUUGCUAUAAGUCCAUUCUAGCAGCCCAGGGUUGCCAAACUGGUGCAUGGAUCACCAGUAGUCUGCAAGUUUCAGGUGGCCUGUGGGUUUGCUGAAGAUGUGAAAUGGUUCCUCCAACACAUUAAAUACUUGCAUUGAUUUUUAUUUUUAUUGCUUCAUUUAUUUCUAAUACUGUAUUUUUAUAUUUUAAUUAAAAUAGUAAUAAAUAUAUAUAAAAAUACAAUACAAUAUAUACACAAUAAAAUACAAGGUAUACUAAAAUAAACUACAAUAUAUAAAUAAAAUGCAAUAUACAAAAUACCAUAUGCAAUAUAUAGUCAGUUGUGAGAUGCAACAUCUUGUAGAUACAGUACUCUUGUUCAUCCUCUUGCCCCAGGAUAGAAACUGAGCUAUUCUCACCGCUGCCAUGAUAGUGUUGCUCAGCCCACUAGUAAGCAUAUGCACGUAUAUUUUUCCCCUCUUUAGGAAGUUUAGGAGGAUCAGGGAUAGGAAAUAACUUAAUGUAAAGCUAUAAUGUGUUGUGAAUCAAAUCCUUCAUUAGUUUUACUGGAACAUUUCCACCAAAUCCUAAAUUAAGUCGAAGGUGAUAGUAAUCUUCCAUUAGUCUCAGCUGAGAAUUAGUAUUACAUCUGUAUCAAGAUUUGUUGGGAAAGCUCAUUUAAAAUCAGUGGAGCAUUUUCAAAGCAUCCGACUUGACUAGGGAUUUGAUAUAUUUUUGAAAAACUUAUUUAGAAGCAGCAGAGCAUUUCCUCUCAAUCCUGAGUUCCAGCAAAUCUACAGGUCAUCUUCUUUCCCUUCCAUGCUUGAUUUUUUUUACUCUAGAGUCUUGCAGCUAGUUUCAUUAUUUAUCAAGUCUAUAACUUUUUCUUUUACAUUUUAAGAUUGAAUAACACAACUUAUUGUUUAUUACAGACUAUACUCUUAUCCAGUGUGAAGCAAGGUUCAGCUUCACUAGAGCUAAUAAGCUUGAAAAAAGUCAAUAUUCAGGAAGAAGAUUGUUUUAUAAUUUCCCAGUUUAUGGCAACCUGCCCAGCACAAGCAAGAUCUGCCUAAGCAAUGUUACACAUCUAGAAAAAGUUUUCUUGAACUGGUCUUUGA